AUUGAGGAGGGAAAGCCUAUAAAAACGUGAGCCCUAUGAUUAGCUGGAAAACAGGGAAAUAGAGGCUGGUGAGUUCUUGACGGAUCCAGUGGUCCGGAACCUCGUCCCCUCGGAGGCUGAGAACAAUAGGCUCCGAACCCCGCCCGGCAUCGCAGCAUCUAAGGCGGAGGAUGCGCAGGGCCCGUCGUCUGCGGGAAGCGCAAAGAGCCGCACUCGGGAAGCCCAUUAGCGAAAUAAUAGGUUUUGAUCCCACUGUUUUGAAAAGGGGGGUCUGAUCUGUUUGUCAGUGGACAUCCUGAUGAGAUCAUGGAUCCUUUAAGGAUUGAACCUGGGGUAAGUAAUAGUA
rnacentral:lncRNA from 1 species